rnacentral:rRNA from 1 species
CCUACGGGAGGCAGCAGUCGAGAAUCAUUCACAAUGGGGGAAACCCUGAUGGUGCGACGCCGCGUGGGGGAAUGAAGGUCUUCGGAUUGUAAACCCCUGUCAUGUGGGAGCAAAUUAAAAAGAUAGUACCACAAGAGGAAGAGACGGCUAACUCUGUGCCAGCAGCCGCGGUAAUACAGAGGUCUCAAGCGUUGUUCGGAAUCACUGGGCGUAAAGCGUGCGUAGGCUGUUUCGUAAGUCGUGUGUGAAAGGCGCGGGCUCAACCCGCGGACGGCACAUGAUACUGCGAGACUAGAGUAAUGGAGGGGGGACCGGAAUUCUCGGUGUAGCAGUGAAAUGCGUAGAUAUCGAGAGGAACACUCGUGGCGAAGGCGGGUUCCUAGACAUUAACUGACGCUGAGGCACGAAGGCCAGGGGAGCGAAAGGGAUUAGAUACCCCUGUAGUC